AGCGAACGCUGGCGGCAGGCCUAACACAUGCAAGUCGAACGGAUCCUUCGGGAUUAGUGGCGGACGGGUGAGUAACGCGUGGGAACGUGCCCUUUGGUUCGGAACAACUCAGGGAAACUUGAGCUAAUACCGGAUGUGCCCUUCGGGGGAAAGAUUUAUCGCCAUUGGAGCGGCCCGCGUCUGAUUAGCUAGUUGGUGGGGUAAAGGCCCACCAAGGCGACGAUCAGUAGCUGGUCUGAGAGGAUGAUCAGCCACAUUGGGACUGAGACACGGCCCAAACUCCUACGGGAGGCAGCAGUGGGGAAUCUUGCGCAAUGGGCGAAAGCCUGACGCAGCCAUGCCGCGUGAAUGAUGAAGGUCUUAGGAUUGUAAAAUUCUUUCACCGGGGACGAUAAUGACGGUACCCGGAGAAGAAGCCCCGGCUAACUUCGUGCCAGCCGCCGCAGUAAAAC
rnacentral:rRNA from 1 species